UAUGCUGAUCGGGUGUCUGCAAUAAGUUUGGCAUCAGUAUGGUGACCUCCCGGGAGCGGGGGGCCACCAGGUUGCCUAAGGAGGGGUGAAACAGUCCAGGUCAGAAACAGAGCAGGUUAAAACUCCCAUGCUGAUCUAUAUGUGUUUUUAAUUGUUUUGAAUA
rnacentral:sRNA from 1 species